rnacentral:lncRNA from 1 species
UGUGUGUGUGUCGUGUAACACGACCAGGAGAAGAAGGAGAAGGGCAAAACCCUAGUUCCUGAAAAUCUUCAAAUUGAGGGUGGAACUUGGCUCAAAACUAAUGCAUGAACCAAGAUUCUUGAUCACCCAAGUGUUCUUCACACCAAGUAAGUCGAAGUUUAUGUUUUGGUGAUGUUUGACAAAAUGGGUUAUGAUGAACCCGUGAAUUUCGGUUGAAAUUAGGAUGAUUAUUUGUUAAUCCUAUCUUGUAGAAGUUUAAAUUUUAGUUAAUUGGAUGAUUUAGAAUGAAACCCAUUGCAUGAGAGUGAACAUGAUGAUCACGAUGAUCUUGUAGAUGAUAAAUUGUGAUUUUGUGUUGUAUGAAGUGUUGUACAAUAGAUUGUGAUAGGGAGAAUAUGCUUAGGACACUUGUACAUUAUGCUUAGAAAGAGGUACGCACGCCAAGUGUUUGAUAAAAUGACUAGGUGAAGCUAGAAAGUGAAAUUGUAUGCAAUUCGUGAGUUUACAUGUAUAGAAAGCGAUUGUGAUAAAAGUAGUAGUUUACUAACUUGAAAAAUAUGCUUUAGAUGGAACUCGUAUAUGAAUUCGGGUUGAAAGUAUAUGUUGGUUAAACUUAUGCAUUAGGAGCUUGCACAUUGUUUUUGAAUGGGUGAGGUUUGCUAUGCGGUCUACUAAUUCCUUAAUUACGGUUAAAAGUGAGCAUGCACUAAAUGUAUAUAGUGUACGACCUCACUAACAAAGGGUGAUAUUAGAAUUAUGCUAAGUUGAUUCUUAUAAGAUAUGGUUGUCGAAU